rnacentral:tRNA from 1 species
GGUGGGGUGGCAGAGUGGUCGAAUGCGCCGGUCUUGAAAACCGGUAUGGGCGUCAGCCCAUCAGGGGUUCGAAUCCCCUCCCCACCG